UGGGGAGUAUUGCACAAUGGGGGGAACCCUGAUGCAGCGACGCCGNNNGCGGGAUGACGGCCUUCGGGUUGUAAACCGCUUUCAGUAGGGAAGAAGCGAAAGUGACGGUACCUGCAGAAGAAGUACCGGCUAACUACGUGCCAGCAGCCGCGGUAAUACGUAGGGUACAAGCGUUGUCCGGAAUUAUUGGGCGUAAAGAGCUCGUAGGUGGUUGGUCGCGUCUGCUGUGGAAACGCAACGCUUAACGUUGCGCGUGCAGUGGGUACGGGCUGACUAGAGUGCAGUAGGGGAGUCUGGAAUUCCUGGUGUAGCGGUGAAAUGCGCAGAUAUCAGGAGGAACACCGGUGGCGAAGGCGGGACUCUGGGCUGUAACUGACGCUGAGGAGCGAAAGCAUGGGGAGCGAACAGGAUUAGAUACCCUGGUAGUCCAUGCCGUAAACGUUGGGAACUAGGUGUGGGGUCCAUUCCACGGAUUCCGUGCCGGAGCUAACGCAUUAAGUUCCCCGCCUGGGGAGUACNNNNNNNAAGGNUA
rnacentral:rRNA from 1 species